GUCUUCUCUGCAUUAUUUAAUCCUGUCCAAAUUGUCAUUGCUACCAUCUUGGGUUUUCUGUUGCUUCAUGAAGAGCUCUACAUAGGGAGCUUGAUAGGUGCUGUAGCAGUUGUAAGUGGAUUGUAUAUAGUGCUUUGGGGUAAAGCCAAAGAUCUGGAGGUAAAACGUAUGGUGGAUACAAAGGAUGGUUUCACAAAGCAAACAAUUUCGACAGAUGCACAAGAGGGUGAGGAUGACAUGAAGAAGCCCCUACUGGCUGAAGGAAUAGAUGACAUUGAAAGUCAGAUCAGAGGUUGAGAAAAUCACUCCAGAUAUUGUAUUAUCUGUUGAGGAACAAUUUUGAUUAA
rnacentral:misc_RNA from 1 species